UACGUAGGGCGCAAGCGUUGUCCGGAAUUAUUGGGCGUAAAGAGCUCGUAGGCGGCCUGUUGCGUCCGCUGUGAAAUCCCGGGGCUCAACCCCCGGGCCUGCAGUGGAUACGGGCUGGCUAGAGGCAGGCAGGGGGAGAACGGAAUUCCUGGUGUAGCGGUGAAAAUGCGCAGAUAUCAGGAGGAACACCGGUGGCGAAGGCGGGUCUCUGGGCAGUAACUGACGCUGAGGAGCGAAAAGCGUGGGGGAGCGAAACAGG
rnacentral:rRNA from 1 species